UACGUAGGGGGCAAGCGUUGUCCGGAUUUAUUGGGCGUAAAGCGCUCGCAGGUGGUUCGAUGCGUCGUGCGUGAAAGACCCCGGCUCAACUGGGGAGGGUCGUGCGAUACGGUCGAACUGGGGGCCAGUAGGGGGAUGCGGAAUUCCGGGUGUAGUGGUGGAAUGCGUAGAGAUCCGGAGGAACACCAGCGGCGAAGGCGGCUUACUGGUCCGGUACUGACGCUGAGGUGCGAAAGCGUGGGGAGCAAACAGG
rnacentral:rRNA from 1 species